GUGAAAUUGUUGAAAGGGAAACGCUUGAAGUCAGUCGCGUCGACCGAGACUCAGCCUUGCCUUGGCUUGGUGUACUUCUCGGCUGACGGGUCAGCAUCAAUUUUGCCCCUUGGAUAAUGAUGAGGGAAACGUGACACCUUUAUGGUGUGUUAUAGUCUCUUGUCGCAUGCAAGGGUCGGGAUUGAGGAACUCAGCACGCACCUUUGGGUGUCGGGGCUUUGCCCACGAUACGUGCUUAGGAUGUUGGCGUAAUGGCUUUAAACGACCCGUCUUGAAACACGGACCAAGGAGUCUAACAUGCCUGCGAGUGUUCGGGUGGAAAACCCGUGCGCGUAAUGAAAGUAAAAGUUGGGACCUCUGUCGUGGAGGGCACCGACGCCCGGACCAGACCUUCUGUGACGGCUCUGCGGUAAAGCAUGUAUGUUAGGACCCGAAAGAUGGUGAACUAUGCCUGAAUAGGGUGAAGCCAGAGGAAACUUUGGUGGAGGCUCGUAGCGAUUCUGACGUGCAAAUCGAUCGUCAAAUUUGGGUAUAGGGGCGAAAGACUAAUCGAACCAUCUAGUAGCUGGUUCCUGCCGAAGUUUCCCUCAGGAUAGCAGAAACUCAUAUCAGAUUUAUGUGGUAAAGCGAAUGAUUAGAGGCCUUGGGGUUGAAACAGCCUUAACCUAUUCUCAAACUUUAAAUAUGUAAGAACAAGCCGUCUCUUGAUUGGACCGCUUGGCGAUUGAGAGUUUCUAGUGGGCCAUUUUUGGUAAGCAGAACUGGCGAUG
rnacentral:rRNA from 1 species